UUCUCCUCUUCUUCUUCGUAUGACUUUGAGCUUACUCACCCAAAAUUUUUGACUUUUUAUUUGUUCCAAAUUCAGUCCAAGUACAUAGCUUAAUCAAAUUUUUCUUCUUCCUUCUUUUAUGCGUGACACUUGGAUUGCCAAAUGUCCAAUUUUUCUCUCUUCUUUCAUGACUCACCCUGUCUCAUAAUUUCUAUAAAUUGCAAUUAAAAUAUCAGUCAUUUUCAAGCUCAAAACCCAACUCAAAUUAUGAGUUUUAAUUCAAAAAGAUUGAGCUUUUCUUCUUCCCUAUUUGGCGAGCUAUGGCUUCCAUAAUCAGCUAAUUUGAGCUUCUAAUUUUGCCCAACAAUACCCACAAAGAACACCAAUUUAAUCAGAAAUUUAUGAACCCAAAAACCCAAAUCAUUUUACAAUUUUCGGCCAUUUUCUCUCUCCUCUGUUUCACCACCGCGGCGCUGCUCUCCUGGCCACCGCGCCACCACCUAAUUCCGGCGAGCCUUUUCUUCCGCACCCAGCCACGCUUGUGCCGCCACCCAGCCACCCCUAUCGUACUCCAUUGUUUCGUGCUCCUCUGUUCUUUGUUGUUAAUUGUUAUGUUGCUGCUUCCUACCUUCAUGGAAAAUAACCCAAAAUAAAAAGGGAUAGUUAGUGGGCCAUUACUCAUGAGGUGUAACUUUGGAGCAAGUAUUAUUAUGGGUCAUAAUUGAAAAUUGGGUCAACUAAUUUUCUGUGGGUUUCGGUUACAAGGCCAAAGGUUAGGUAAGUGUUUUGAUUUUAUUAAGCUUGUCCAUUUAAUUAUAAUGAGUUAUCAUGUCUAAUUACGGGAUUUAUUGUAAUUCUGGAGCAAUUGGGCUUAAAGCAUAGGUUUGGUGGGAAUUAAGAUCAUGGAAGAUAUAUUGUUGGAGUAUAAAGAUGUCGUCACUCUAAUGGUUAAGGAAAAUCGACCAAGGUAAUUAUUAUGUCUAGCAUCUUAUCUUAUAUGCCCGUAUAUGUUAAUGUGUAAUUUUUAUGUCUAGCAUUUAAGUUUAUAUGCCCGUAUGUGAAAAUAUGUAAUUAUGUGACUUAAGUGCUAAUUGAUAUGAUGUUUGAUUUGAAGUAUUAUGAGUAUUUUUAUGAUGAUAUGUUAAAUUACUUUAUUAUUUUAUGAUGAUAUAUGUUAAUGAUUAUGAUCAUGAUGUUAAAGACGUUAUUCGGGAAUAAUUACGAUAUUUAUAAAGUUAUUUUGAAAAAAGACGAUGUUGCUUUUGUCGGCAUGGAAAAGUGAACUGAACUAGUAAAUGGGCAAGUUACAGGUAGAGGCAAGUUAAAGUUAAAGUUUGGGAAACAGUUCCCCCCUGAAAAGAUGUAAGAAAAGCCCCGCAAGCCUGUACUUGCCAAUGAGCUGUAAAGGAAAUGAUUCCUUGCCGACACACGUUUUCAAGAUGACGAGAUUGAGUUAGUUAUUUCCGAACAAUAAAUGCUAAUGAUUGAUAUGUGCCAAAUGAUUUUCAAAAUAAAACCGUUUUGACGGGCUGGAGUAAUUAUUAUGUCUAGCAUCUUAUCUUAUAUGCCCGUAUAUGUUAAUGUGUAAUUUUUAUGUCUAGCAUUUAAGUUUAUAUGCCCGUAUGUGAAAAUAUGUAAUUAUGUGACUUAAGUGCUAAUUGAUAUGAUGUUUGAUUUGAAGUAUUAUGAGUAUUUUUAUGAUGAUAUGUUAAAUUACUUUAUUAUUUUAUGAUGAUAUAUGUUAAUGAUUAUGAUCAUGAUGUUAAAGACGUUAUUCGGGAAUAAUUACGAUAUUUAUAAAGUUAUUUUGAAAAAAGACGAUGUUGCUUUUGUCGGCAUGGAAAAGUGAACUGAACUAGUAAAUGGGCAAGUUACAGGUAGAGGCAAGUUAAAGUUAAAGUUUGGGAAACAGUUCCCCCCCUGAAAAGAUGUAAGAAAAGCCCCGCCAAAGCCUGUACUUGCCAAUGAGCUAUAAAGGAAAUGAUUCCUUGCCGACACACGUUUUCAAGAUGACGAGAUUGAGUUAGUUAUUUCCGAACAAUAAAUGCUAAUGAUUGAUAUGUGCCAAAUGAUUUUCAAAAUAAAACCGUUUUGACGGGCUGGAGUAAUAUUACUGAGUUUUCCACUCAUUUUUGGCAUUUUUCUGUGUUUUUCCUGUUUUCUAUUUUUAUGAUGAUGUACAGGUUCGAUUAAGGAGCUCAAGUUGCUCAAAGAAGAGUUAUUACUGGAGUUGGUUAUUUAUUAUGGAGAUAUCGAGAUGAGAAGUAUUUAUAAUGGGAAUCCUGUUAUUGAGAUUUAAUUAUGAGAAUACUGUUUAUAUUUAUUUUUGGGAAAAUUUGUAUUAUUUAAGAAAUGUUAUUUGAGGAUUAUUUUAUUUGUGGGCCCAUACCCACAGGUCCCAGGGUUAAUUAAGCCUAAUUGCGCUGGCAAUGAUCAGUUAAGUACGGUUUAUUACCGAUAAUUAAGGAGCCGAAAAGUCGGGGUGUUACAGUAUGGUAUCAGAGCGGAGCCCAGCCGGAAGUGCUCUGCACUGCCUGGGUAUGAUCUUGGGGAUAUGAGAAAAUUUUUGAGGUUUUAACAACUAUUUGGGUUGUUAGAUGUUAAGGUAUAAGAAUAAGGAGUUUUAAAAGAAGUAAAAGAGUCUUGGGUUAUUGAGAGAGUAUGUCAUAUUAUGAAAUUAUCUGGGUUUAGACUAAACUUAAGUUUUGAGAUAUCCAGUUUCGAGGACGAAACUUUUUCUAAGAGGGUAAGGAUGUAAUACCCGUAUUUUUAAGCCUGUUUUAUUUUUCUGUAAUUACGAUUAUUAACGUAAUUAUGUCAUCAAUUUUUCCGAUGUUAUUUUAAUUAUCUUAUUAUGUCUACCUUUUUAUUGUGACAUAAUACGAAUUAUUUAAGCCACUUUUUCAAGCCCAGUAUAUUCAAGCCCAAAUAUUGAAAACAAAUAUGAUAUUCCAUUCUUAGGUGGGAAAUUAUAUUUUUAACCUUGGUCAACUUCAAAGACCAAAGACCAAUUUCUCCUCUUCUUCUUCGUAUGACUUUGAGCUUACUCACCAAAAAAUUUUGACUUUUUAUUUGUUCCAAAUUCAGUCCAAGUACAUAACUUAAUCAAAUUUUUCUUCUUCCUUCUUUUAUGCGUGACACUUGGAUUGCCAAAUGUCCAAUUUUUCUCUCUUCUUUCAUGACUCACCCUGUCUCAUAAUUUCUAUAAAUUGCAAUUAAAAUAUCAGUCAUUUUCAAGCUCAAAACCCAACUCAAAUUAUGAGUUUUAAUUCAAAAAGAUUGAGCUUUUCUUCUUCCCUAUUUGGCGAGCUAUGGCUUCCAUAAUCAGCUAAUUUGAGCUUCUAAUUUUGCCCAACAAUACCCACAAAGAACACCAAUUUAAUCAGAAAUUUAUGAACCCAAAAACCCAAAUCAUUUUACAAUUUUCGGCCAUUUUCUCUCUCCUCUGUUUCACCACCGCGGCGCUGCUCUCCUGGCCACCGCGCCACCACCUAAUUCCGGCGAGCCUUUUCUUCCGCACCCAGCCACGCUUGUGCCGCCACCCAGCCACCCCUAUCGUACUCCAUUGUUUCGUGCUCCUCUGUUCUUUGUUGUUAAUUGUUAUGUUGCUGCUUCCUACCUUCAUGGAAAAUAACCCAAAAUAAAAAGGGAUAGUUAGUGGGCCAUUACUCAUGAGGUGUAACUUUGGAGCAAGUAUUAUUAUGGGUCAUAAUUGAAAAUUGGGUCAACUAAUUUUCUGUGGGUUUCGGUUACAAGGCCAAAGGUUAGCAAUUGGGCUUAAAGCAUAGGUUUGGUGGGAAUUAAGAUCAUGGAAGAUAUAUUGUUGGAGUAUAAAGAUGUCGUCACUCUAAUGGUUAAGGAAAAUCGACCAAGGUUCGAUUAAGGAGCUCAAGUUGCUCAAAGAAGAGUUAUUACUGGAGUUGGUUAUUUAUUAUGGAGAUAUCGAGAUGAGAAGUAUUUAUAAUGGGAAUCCUGUUAUUGAGAUUUAAUUAUGAGAAUACUGUUUAUAUUUAUUUUUGGGAAAAUUUGUAUUAUUUAAGAAAUGUUAUUUGAGGAUUAUUUUAUUUGUGGGCCCAUACCCACAGGUCCCAGGGUUAA